rnacentral:tRNA from 1 species
GCGGGUGUAGUUCAGCGGUAGAACAUCAGCUUCCCAAGCUGAGAACGCGGGUUCGAUUCCCGUCGCCCGCU